UGCCUCACCGUGCUUGGCAAGCACUCUACCACUGAGCCCCAGCCCCAGCCCUGCCUUUUAGCUCUACUCCCUUGUGAGGCUGUAAACUCCCUUUAUGAUGUCUGCCCCUCUCACAUGGACCAGUGGAGUGGAGUGUGACAGCCAGUGAUUCUUACCUCUCUAGCCUGUUUUCCACCAUCCUACUUCUGGCAUCCUUAUCCUUUAGGAAAUUCCUCCCUGUAUCUUAAUGCUGGUGGGUUGUCAGUUCAAGUACCCACUACUUCCACCCAUCCCUAUCCCACCAUGACCAGGUAGGCAGGUAAUCCAGAAUGCACCAAUCACAGAACCCCAUCUUCUAGCAACAGUGAUUGGUCCAAGGGAUGAGCACAGAAUCCAAGGAAGACCAAUCGGACUCUUUCCCUGGGAUUGAUGAUCAGGUCCUGUCUUAUACCCAUCACCGUGAAGCCCUGGUCCAGAACAAGUACAGUGAUUGCCACAUUGCACUGUCACGGUGAAUGGCUGUCUCCCGCCAGACCUCAAGCUGCUGGAGGACAGGCAUUGGAUUAUGCUCCUUCAUGCCCUUAAAGGCCAGCAGAGUUGGCGGAUCGAUUGAACAAUUUGUCUCUGCGGGUUGAUUAUUCAAUUGAACAAGUUGUCUCUUCAGGUCAAAGUCUCUGACUGAACAAUUUGUCCCUAUGGGUCAAUUUUUUUUUUCCAAAAUCCAACAUUUUCCUGGAAACGUGGCUACUACUUCUAUUAUUGUGGUCUACAAAAAUGACCAUAAGUCAUAGAGAACCUGUCUAUUGCUAUUCCUGGAAUUUCAGAGCAUGCUAUGGUCAAUGCCUAUUAUUUCUUUCAUAAAGUAUGCAUUACUCUGA